AUUGAACGCUGGCGGCAGGCCUAACACAUGCAAGUCGAGCGGAGCGGCGGACGGGUGAGUAAUGCCUAGGAAUCUGCCUGGUAGUGGGGGAUAACGUCCGGAAACGGGCGCUAAUACCGCAUACUAUCAGAUGAGCCUAGGUCGGAUUAGCUAGUUGGUGGGGUAAAGGCCUACCAAGGCGACGAUCCGUAACUGGUCUGAGAGGAUGAUAAGUCAGAUCGGAGAUGAAACACGUUCAAGAGUCCUACGUGAGGCAGCAGGGGGGAAGAUUGGACAAUGGGCGAAAGCCUGAUCCAGCCAUGCAGCGUGUGUGAAGAAGGUCUGCGGAUUGUAAAGCACUUGAAGUUGGAAGGCGUUCCCAAAAGAAUAAGCACCGGCUAACUACGGACCAGCAGCCGCGGUAAUAC
rnacentral:rRNA from 1 species